CUGCAGUCGAGCGAAUGGAUUGAGAGCUUGCUCUCAAGAAGUUAGCGGCGGACGGGUGAGUAACACGUGGGUAACCUGCCCAUAAGACUGGGAUAACUCCGGGAAACCGGGGCUAAUACCGGAUAACAUUUUGAACUGCAUGGUUCGAAAUUGAAAGGCGGCUUCGGCUGUCACUUAUGGAUGGACCCGCGUCGCAUUAGCUAGUUGGUGAGGUAACGGCUCACCAAGGCAACGAUGCGUAGCCGACCUGAGAGGGUGAUCGGCCACACUGGGACUGAGACACGGCCCAGACUCCUACGGGAGGCAGCAGUAGGGAAUCUUCCGCAAUGGACGAAAGUCUGACGGAGCAACGCCGCGUGAGUGAUGAAGGCUUUCGGGUCGUAAAACUCUGUUGUUAGGGAAGAACAAGUGCUAGUUGAAUAAGCUGGCACCUUGACGGUACCUAACCAGAAAGCCACGGCUAACUACGUGCCAGCAGCCGCGGUAAUACGUAGGUGGCAAGCGUUAUCCGGAAUUAUUGGGCGUAAAGCGCGCGCAGGUGGUUUCUUAAGUCUGAUGUGAAAGCCCACGGCUCAACCGUGGAGGGUCAUUGGAAACUGGGAGACUUGAGUGCAGAAGAGGAAAGUGGAAUUCCAUGUGUAG
rnacentral:rRNA from 1 species